GAUGAACGCUGACAGAAUGCUUAACACAUGCAAGUCUUUGGCGAAGCUGUGCUUGCACAGCCUAGCCAAGGCGGACGGGUGAGUAACGCGUAAGGAACUUGCCCUGCAGUCAGGGAUAACAGACGGAAACGACUGAUAAGACCUGGUAAAGUCAGGCGGACUCAUGUCCAGCCUGAUGAAAAGUGAUGCUGCAGGAGAGCCUUGCGUCCUAUUAGCUUGUUGGUGGGGUAACGGCCCACCAAGGCGAUGAUAGGUAGCCGGCCUGAGAGGGUGGACGGCCACAAGGGGACUGAGAUACGGCCCUUACUCCUACGGGAGGCAGCAGUGGGGAAUAUUGGACAAUGGGGGAAACCCUGAUCCAGCAAUGCUGUGUGCACGAUGAAGGUUUUCGGAUUGUAAAGUGCUUUCAGCAGGGAAGAAAAAAAGGACGGUACCGGCAGAAGAAGCGACGGCUAAAUACGU
rnacentral:rRNA from 1 species